GGAGCUCGAUUUGAAAAGGUCGUAUGUGCUUUAGUCGAUUAAAAAUUCGAUCAGUUGGAUUCGCUUAUUAUAGCAAAAACCGUUGAAAUUAAACAAAGUUGAUACAUACAGCAGAAUCAUCACAAGACAAGCUUUCCGUUCCAUCAUUAAAAGUUUCCAAAAUAUCUUCCCUAUUGCUACAAUAACUAAAAUAAACUUAUCGAAUUUUAUAUCGACAAAUGUACAUACGACCUAUUCAAAUCGAGCUCCAGAAAUAUUUUUUGCCAACAUUUCGUAAAAUAUGAAAUAUAUGAAAAAAUGUUCAAAUCUCCAUACAUUUUUUGGAUCGAAAACUUCUGGCUCGAUAUUUAUUGGUUGCUCUUCCUUUUUCUAUACAUGGCAUAAUUGAUAGUGAUAUACAUGGAGUCAUGUUUGCUUUCGCAUCUGUCAAACAGAAAACAAAGAACGAAAACAAAAAGUUUGGAACCAGCAGUCGGCAACCUCGGUAGCGGAACGGAAAAAAACGAGGGGAAGCGAGAAAAAUAAAACGGCACGAUCCGGAACGCCGGGCACCAGUAUCUACGUCGUUCGCAGGGAAAUUGUUCAAAUCUCUAACAGAACCACGAAGAAGCAUCUGUAACCUGGUCAAGCCGGGAGUGUUCCUUUGGCCGCUAAUGGAUGUCACACUUUUGGAGGAAACAACCCGCCCGAUGAAAAGCCUAAUGUCGGCUGCCAAAUUAUUCCUGUCGUGCUGACUAAUUUUGGAUGACAUCUGCGUUGCUGCGCAUUGCCGUUGCCGUGACCCAUGUACGGUUAGAGGAGACGGGAACAAACUUCCGACGGCGCUGUACAGAUGAUUAUCGCGCAAGUGUUGCGCACCAUUGUGAGAGAGAGCAGUAUAUGCUCAACACAACAACAAGUUUCUUCUGGCGAUCAUGGCUGUUCCGGUUACCAACCCCACCCCAUGGCAAACGAAAUCAGAUGCAUCCCUAUAAAUACCUAUAAUACCGGAC